ensembl:snoRNA SNORD29 Small nucleolar RNA SNORD29
UUUCUGUGAUGAAUCAAACUAGCUCACUAUGAACUAACAAUGAAAAGAUAUGAACACCUGAGAAAC